GGUUUCACAUCAACGGACUGAAAGAGCGGCAGGCUCAUAACCUGACGGUCCCCGGUUCGAAUCCGGGCGGGCCCACCA
rnacentral:tRNA from 1 species